CUUUGCAUGGAGGGAAGAACGCAGUGUUCAAGAUACCGUCUACCUGCUGUGUUAUAAACUGCAAUAGUCGUUCUCACGAUAGAAGUGGCAUAAAGCUUAAGAACGGAAUAUCCUUUUAUCGUUUUCCAGCGUGGAAAAAUAAUAGUACAAUGGUAAGGAGGCCAAGAUUACCUUCGAUAACUCCACCACACAUGAUUUUGUGUUCAAAGCAUUUUCACAAAGACACUACACCUGCACCUUAGAUGGAAGGUCCUGUGAAUCCACCUGCAUCGCCGGGCACUGUCCACACCACUCAUGAGACUGAGCUGAAGACUUCGCUGGAUAAAAUUGUGGUUGUGUGCUGUGCUUUUGACCAAUAUGUGUCCAAGUAUUGUUGUGAAG